GAAAUGCGAUAAGUCAUGUGAAUUGCAGAAUUCAGUGAAUCAUCGAAUCUUUGAACGCACAUUGCGCCCGCCAGCACUCUGGCGGGCAUGCCUGUUCGAGCGUCAUUUCAACCCUCAGAACCCCUUGCGGGAUCUGGCGUUGGGGAUUGGCAUCCAGCCAGCCCCGAAAUCUAGUGGCGGUCCCUCCGCGACCUCCCCUGUGCAGUAGCGAUACCUCGCAGCGGGACAGCGGUCUGACCACGCCGUAAAACCCCCAACUUCUCAAGGUUGACCUCGAAUCAGGUAGGAAUACCCGCUGAACUUAAGC
rnacentral:misc_RNA from 1 species